rnacentral:rRNA from 1 species
UACAGAGGUGGCAAGCGUUGUUCGGAAUUACUGGGCGUAGAGGGCGCGUAGGCGGCCUUCUAAGUCAGACGUGAAAUCCCCAGGCUUAACUUGGGAACUGCGUCUGAUACUGGGAGGCUUGAGUGCGGGAGAGGGAUGUGGAAUUCCAGGUGUAGCGGUGAAAUGCGUAGAUAUCUGGAGGAACACCGGUGGCGAAGGCGGCAUCCUGGACCGACACUGACGCUGAGGCGCGAAAGCUAGGGGAGCAAACGGG